AGCUCCAAUAGCGUAUAUUAAAGUUGUUGCGGUUAAAAAGCUCGUAGUUGGAUUUCUGUCGAAAACGGCCGGUCCGUACUAUGUACGUGUAUCUGGUUCGGUUUUGGCAUCCUCGUGGGGAACGUAACUGCGCUUGAUUGCGUGGUACGGAAUUCACGACUUUUACUUUGAGGAAAUUAGAGUGUUCACGGCAGGCAAGCGCCUUGAAUACAUUAGCAUGGAAUAAUAAUAUAGGACCUUGGUUCUAUUUUGUUGGUUUCUAGAACUGAGGUAAUGAUUAAUAGGGAUAAUUGGGGGCAUUCGUAUUAACGCGUCAGAGGUGGAAUUCUUGGAUUGCGUUACGACGAACUACUGCGAAAGCAUUUGCCAAGGAUGUUUUCA
rnacentral:rRNA from 1 species